AAACCCCUCAAGCCUGGCUUGGUGUUGGGCGUCGGGCGUCGGCCCGCGCCUCUAUUCUGUCGGCUGGACGGUUGGUCAUCUCAGCGUUGUGCAAACGAAUCGCUUGGAGGACCGCCGGACGUGCCGUUAAACCCCCAUCAAA
rnacentral:misc_RNA from 1 species